rnacentral:rRNA from 1 species
UACGGAGGGGGCGAGCGUUGUUCGGAAUUACUGGGCGUAAAGGGUGCGUAGGCGGUAUACCAAGUCAGGCGUGAAAGCCCUGGGCUUAACCCAGGAUGUGCGUUUGAUACUGGUAGGCUAGAGUUCGUGAGAGGAUGGUGGAAUUCCCAGUGUAGAGGUGAAAUUCGUAGAUAUUGGGAAGAACACCGGUGGCGAAGGCGGCCAUCUGGCACGAUACUGACGCUGAGGCACGAAAGCGUGGGGAGCAAACAGG